GGACCCGCACAAGUAGUGGAGCAUGUGGUUUAAUUCGAAGAUACGCGCAGAACCUUACCAACACUUGACAUGUUCGUCGCGACUUUAAGAGAUUAAAGUUUUCGGUUCGGCCGGACGAAACACAGGUGCUGCAUGGCUGUCGUCAGCUCGUGUCGUGAGAUGUUGGGUUAAGUCCCGCAACGAGCGCAACCCUCACUUUUAGUUGCCAUCAUUAAGUUGGGCACUCUGAAAGAACUGCCAGUGAUAAGCUGGAGGAAGGUGGGGAUGACGUCAAGUCCUCAUGGCCCUUACGUGUUGGGCUACACACGUGCUACAAUGGUUGGUACAGAGAGCUGCAAGACCGCGAGGUG
rnacentral:rRNA from 1 species